AUUUAAUUUUUAAGUUAAAAAGCUUAAAUUUUUAUAAAAGACGAGAAGACCCUAUAGAUCUUUAUAGAUUUAUUUUUAUAAUUAUUUUAGAUUUAUUAAUUUUAUAUAAUAUAAAUUUAUUUUAUUGGGGUAAUAUAAAGAUUUAUAUAAUUCUUUUUUUUAAUUGUAUUAAUUUAUAUAUUAUUGAUCCGUUAUUAAUGAUUAAAAGAUUAAGUUACCUUAGGGAUAACAGCGUAAUUUUUUUAGAGAGUUCAUAUUGAUAAAAAAGUUUGCGACCUCGAUGUUGGAUUAAAGAUUAAUUUAGGUGCAAAAGUUUAAAUUUUUGGUCUGUUCGACCAUUAAAUCUUUACAUGAUCUGAGUUCAGACCGGUGUAAGCCAGGUCGGUUUCUAUCUUUAUAUAAUUAAAAUAUUUUAGUACGAAAGGACCAAAUAUUAAUUAAAAUAAUUAUUUAUUUGAAUAUU
rnacentral:rRNA from 1 species